GGCAAAUCUCAGCCCUCCAGGCGUUUUGGUCUUCAACUCCCACAACUCCCGCUUUUAGGUAUUGUGGGAGUUGAAGUCCAAAACACCUGGAGGGCCGAAGUUUGCCCAUGCCUGGUAUAUGGGAUAUUGCUAUUGAAAAAAGGCUCUAAUUUUCGCACUGUUCCUUUAAGAAGGCUCUCAUUUCCGCACUGUUCCUUUAAGAAGAAGCACGUGGCGCACUUCCUCUUUUGCAGCCGGCCAAGAUGGCUCCCCAUGCUUUGGAGCAAGGAAGUUGCUGGGCUUUUUGUAACUAUCACCUGCAAACGCCGGAUAAAACGAAUCCUUCCAAAAACAAGCGCCGACGUGGAUUUGGAAAAACCCGACCCGAAAAGAAGUCAUUUGCGAGGAGAGCAAAGUUAAGAAAGCUGUGAAAUUGGACGGUAGAGCCUUGCAGCAAUGAAGUUCUUACAUCAUGUGUUUGGAAGAAAGAGAAGAAAAACACAAUCUUUUUUUUUUUUAAAAAAUGUUCUGCCAACAUGUCAGUUUUGACACUUUAGAAGGGGCAGAGCUUUUCUAAACCAUGGAAAAUAUAUGCACCUUCACAUUUUAAAAAGACUUAACUAAUUAACAUGCUCAAUAAAGUUAAAUAAACCCUGCCCACCUCUAAACCACUCUAAAUAUUUCAUAUAGUCAUAGAUUUGGAAGAGACCCCAAGAGCCAUCCAGUCCAUUCUGCCAGAUAGGAACACAGUCAAAGCACUCCCCACAGAUGACCAUGCAGGUUGUUUAAAAACAUCUAGAUUCCAUGACGCUUCGAGACAGCAGCAUAUUCCACUGCUCUUACCUUAGGAAGUUCUUCCUGAUCUUUAGAUGGAAUCUCUUUUCCUGUAGUUCUAAUUUGUUGCUCUGUAUCCUUGUCUCUAGAGUCUAGAGCUGGUAGGCUGUUCGGAAUUGUGGGAGUUGAACUCCAGAACACAUGGAGGGCCGAAGUUUGCCCAUGUUUGGGCUAGAGCAAACUUGCCACCUCCUCAGUGUGAUAUCAUUUCUGGUAUUUAAACAUGGUGAUCACGUUUAGAGCUCACGGUGAAAGCUCUUAAUGACUUUCAUUCUACUGUAUGUGUAUUAAUAUGUUUUUAAAGUAAGUACGACAUCUUGUUUUGAGACCUGCAUUUCCAUACUUUUACGAUGAAAUGGUGCAAUCUGAACCCCUCUUGAAAUGUUACACAAUUAGAAUGAUCACAGCUGUAAUAAUUAAAUUAUGGAAAACCUACUUGAUUAAAGGCAGUUUCAGUAAUACAUUGCUUGAUGUGACUUAAUUUUUAGAAGUUGAUUGCAAUAGAAACAUGGAAGCACUGAGGUGGACAAUACAAUUAGAUUAAAAAUUGUGUGUGUCUAAUACUGCUAUAAAUGCCAUUUCAAUUCAUAAGAGUGUCAAACUGCAAUCUGCUUCAAUAAGAAGCCCAGUGAUUUCUGAGCUAAGGUGAGAUUCUUCCAAUGGUAAGAAAAAGACUGAUGUGGCAGCACCUGGAUCUAAAUGGAUUAUUUCUUGGAACCCUGACUUGAGAAAGUGGGUUGGUUGGUAGAUGGCAGGGAUCCUGAGCUGGGCUUUGACAGUCUCCUAUACCACAGAAACAGUUGUGCCUUUGGUUCUCCAAAAUCAGACUUGCAAGAAGUGAAGGCUGUUUUCUCCCACUGCUGCAUGAAAUGUAUCAAACAAUUUGCAUAGCAGACUGUUAAGUAAGUCGUUUGAAGCCAGAGGGGUUGUUUACGCCAUGUCUAAUGCUUGAUACAUUUCUGAACAGUCAAAGCUGCAACACUUGAGCCUGAAAUUGACUACAAAUUGGAUUUGAACAUGUUUAGGAUUAGGGCUGAAUUAUGGUCUUCCAGGUUUGUGGUAGCAGUAGACUGUAAGAACCAGGAACACGAUUCUUUAAAAUUUAAAUGAAUGGAAAGUAUUUUUGUAGUUCUGUGUCUCUUCUCAGACUACAAUUUUUUUGGCCUGAAAAGUUAACUGAUGCUGGAAAGCUUCUGUGAUCAACAAUCAAUUUUUAAAAUAGGUUUCUUUCCAUGAUUAUUUACCACAAAACAGUCUCAAAACUAGAAUUGGACCUUUAGCCUCUUCCAGAAUUUUGCUAAUGCUUGGAGUUGCUACUUUCCCACUCCUCCUUUAAGUCCAAUAAGGCUGUACAGAAGAGGACUGAGAAUUCUUCCUAAGGUGUAAGUCAGUUUAAGCAGUUCAGCAUCUUUAAAUAAACAAAAUGGUAACUCUUGAGGAAACAUGCUAUUAGAAACUGCAAUAAUUUUAACAUAAGAGUACACAUGAAACUCAGGAAAAGCAUGAAGUGCAGACACCUGGUAAAUUGAAAGCAUUUUAUUGAGAUUUCAAUAAAUAAGUAUUCUGUUCUGGAACAGAGAAAAACAAUAUUAUUGGGCUAAGUUCCAUUGCCAGCAAUGGAUACAGAAUAGACCUAACAGAGUUAUAAUGGUGGUCAGCAGAAAACCUCAAGCCACUCCAGUGAAUUUGUAAAGGCCUACUGCCACACGGCGUGAAGGUGCAGCAUCUCCUAAGGCUAGUCCACACAUGGAUGCGAUGGGGCACCCUUCUAGUGGCUUCAUGACAGCAUGCCACUUGUACCCCAUAACAUGGACAACUGUACAAGCCAUGUUGCCUUAAUGCUGUGGUCCCAUCCAGCAUUUGAAAAAAUUGUGGCAAAGCCAGCAGCCUCCUGACAUUUCCCCCUUGCCAUCUGGUAUUAGCAUGCAUGCACUACCAGUGAA
rnacentral:lncRNA from 1 species